ACGGAAGGCAGCAGUGGGGAAUAUUGCACAAUGGGGGAAACCCUGAUGCAGCGACGCCGCGUGAGUGAAGAAGUAUUUCGGUAUGUAAAGCUCUAUCAGCAGGGAAGAAAAUGACGGUACCUGACUAAGAAGCCCCGGCUAACUACGUGCCAGCAGCCGCGGUAAUACGUAGGGGGCAAGCGUUAUCCGGAUUUACUGGGUGUAAAGGGAGCGUAGACGGUAAUGCAAGUCAGAAGUGAAAGCCCAGGGCUCAACCUUGGGACUGCUUUUGAAACUGUAAUACUAGAGUGCAGGAGAGGUAAGUGGAAUUCCUAGUGUAGCGGUGAAAUGCGUAGAUAUUAGGAGGAACACCAGUGGCGAAGGCGGCUUACUGGACUGUAACUGACGUUGAGGCUCGAAAGCGUGGGGAGCAAACAGGAUUAGAUACCCUGGUA
rnacentral:rRNA from 1 species